AGAGUAGACUGGAUGGUCGCUCCGGUUGGUUGGAGAAACCGGAGAGGAAAGUCUGGACACCACAGGGCAGGACGGUCGCUAACGGCGACCCUUGGCGGAGGAAUCCGUCUAAGCGGGAUAGGGCCACAGAAACGAUACAACGGUAGGUGGUAGAUGGUAGGUAGUAGAUGGGGAAAUCCUACCUACUACCUACCAUCUACCACCUACCGAACUGGUGAAACGGUGCGGCCCCCAGGGGCUUAAUGUAAGAGCGCACCAGCGUCGCGGUGACGCGGCGGCUGAGGUAACCCCCGUCCGGUGCAAAGCCAAGCAGAAAGCGUUGACCCGGCCCGGCGAGCUUUCGGGUUGGCUGCUGUUGCAUCUAGAAAUGGAUGUGACCAUGCGGCGAGCAAUCGUCGCAGUAGAGAAAUGACCAUCAGCGUUGGAGAGCGCGACAGAAUCCGGCUUAUAGGUCUACUCUUCAU
rnacentral:RNase_P_RNA from 1 species